GAAGAAUCCAGAACGGGAGGCCAGGAGAAAGCCUGCAGAGAGAGACAGCCGGCCUUCACUAGAUCCCGCUCUAACGAGAGACAAGGACAUUCCGGAAAGGAGGACAAAUUUAGCGGGACGCUUGAUGACUCACGUUGGAGUCGUCCUGCUGCGUCUUCUCCUCCUCUUCCUCGUCCUUGGCCUCCGCAGCUGCAGCUUGGGUGCCACCUUCUGCCACGGACCCCUUCCCAGGCCGGGGGUCCCGCUCCGAGGCGGAGGGGCACGAGCGCCCGCCGGGGGGGGACGAGCUGCGAGAUUUCUGCCUGCGGAACAGCUCGAUCGCCAGCCGCUGUCACCACGGCAACACCGACAAGUGGGUGCAGCAAAUCUCCACCUGCACAGCAGAAAAGGACCAUUGUGCUUCUUUAAGUCCCUGGUGAAAAAUUGCCCUUUGAUGCUAACACACCAGGCGCCCUGAAGGACAUGAUUGUGACACUGAUUGUACGAGUCAUACAAUCAAGGUCAAAAGCCACUGUGUAGAGUUCAAAUCAGCCGUUCGGAAACCUCCCGGCCUGAAAGCUUCCCCACAUUUGACCAAAGUCUCCCCAG